UACGUAGGGUGCUAGCGUUGUCCGGAUUUAUUGGGCGUAAAGGGCUCGUAGGUGGCCUGUCGCGUCGGCUGUGAAAACUCGGGGCUCAACUCCGAGCUUGCAGUCGAUACGGGCAGGCUAGAGUUCGGCAGGGGAGACUGGAAUUCCUGGUGUAGCGGUGAAAUGCGCAGAUAUCAGGAGGAACACCGGUGGCGAAGGCGGGUCUCUGGGCCAUUACUGACGCUGAGGAGCGAAAGCGUGGGGAGCGAACAGG
rnacentral:rRNA from 1 species